GUUGUGAUUUGCUUUCAAUUUAGUAUUUUUGCACUACAGCAAACAAC
rfam:Bacteroides sp. 43_108 Ley3_66761_scaffold_467, whole genome shotgun sequence.